UUUCAGCCCCGAUUGUAAUGGAAAUACUCGAGAUUUGGAAAGCAAUUUUUUCUAAGCAGAAAAGAGCGACCGCAGGAAGCUCCUUUUAUGGGUAAGAAAAAAGCUUUAUAAACGAGAGAUUGAAAUGAAAAGCGGGAUUAAGC
rnacentral:sRNA from 1 species